GGUUCUCGUACGAUCACCAAAGUUAAACAACGUCGAACCUGGUCAGUACUUAGAUGGGUGACCGCUUGGGAAUACCAGGU